GCAUUUGCCUUGUGUCAGAAAGUACUUCAGAGGCCAGACUGAACCCCGCUGUCCCAAGUGUAAUGAACUCUGGUCUUGUUGACACCCCAGUUUUCUUGCCAGGUGUCAGUCGGAUGUGCUCCCAGACUCAGCACUGAGCUCCACUCUUGGCCCUGGAUGAUGCCAGUAAAACUUGUCAGUGACAUCUGUUUGCCCCCACUCUGGCAGAACAGCCAGACUGUAUUGUAUUUGUUAUUGUGUUAUGGUAACAGUGCUCAGUGCACUCAUUUUCUAAAGUUCUAAGAAUCUUACAAUAAAACUAUCAUUUAUGUUCCUGUUCCUAAUAAUA